UUUGUGGUUUGUUGUUUACAGAGAACUUACAUUGUUUGGCUUCUUGAAAUCUUUCUCGCUUUCACUAUUGUACUUUGUCUUUUGAGUGCUGGAGGAAGAAAUAAAGAAAGAAAAGAAAAACAAGCAAACUUGAGAAAGAAGUGGAAAGCAAACUCAGGACAGAAAGAAUAAUCGACACAGCCUUUAUUGGAUUCUUGCAGAAAAUAUGUGCAUUAUUGAACCAAUCAUACAAGAAAGGCUCUAUUCCAGCGCUGAAGAAUGAUAAGUCAUCCCAGAAGGUUCAUCCAGUCCCAGUUGAUUUUAGGAUGAUCCACUGGCAUAUGUUUUGGAUUACGGCUUUCUGAUAGAUGCAUCGGGUGAAGGUUUAGGGGCAAUACUUCUGCAAGGAGAAGGGCAAAAAAGAGGCUGGUGCUGUUUAUCAGCUGGAAAUUUUUUACGAGGGAAAAAAUUAUGUGGUGGUGGAGAAGGAGGCACUGGUAAUGAAAUGGGCUAUAGAUAAUUUCAAAUUGUAAGGAAUGACUUUCUGGUAGAGAGUGACCACAGAGCGCUGCAGCAGAUAUGGAGGAUGAUAUUUAUAAAUAUUCGCAUUGCUCAAUGUCACCUUGUGCUUCAGCCGUAUAGGUUCAAGGUGAGACAUAUGUUGAGAAAAGAGAAGUGUUUGGGCAAUUAUUUAUCCCGCCAGUGUUGACUUAUGUAUCAGUAUGUGGUGUAGUGCCUUAGCACCUCACCAAAGUAAAAGCAGCUGGCAAGAGCAUAACAGUUUAUAGCCAGCAUUUUCCCAUGUAAAUAGUUACAACUGUGCACUUAUCAUUUUUUCUUUGUUUGGUUGCAGCAUGAGGGUGAUGGGUAAAAGUGAUGCCAAUCGACAGUCCUGGAAGAAAGAGUUUCAGGGUGGCCAACCAUAACGCAAGAUGGCAGGUACGGUCCAGUAGCCACAAUGAAGCCAAGAUGCACAUAAAAAGAAUGGCUUACGCACAGGAAAGAGCAGGGCCCACCGGAUGAAUAAGGUGCUGUACAACAAGUGCAGGGACAGUGCUGCAGGUAUCGUGUGCAAAAGUAAUACUAAGUUAUAUAGGAGUUUUUGGGAGGAAAACGACACAUAGACAUGGUUACCAGUGCUACGUGACACCCUGGAACAUCACCCACUUUUGACAGCUAAGAAAUAUAUGGCCAUAUAAAAAGGGUGGAGUGGAUGUUAGAGGUCGGCUGUCUUUGGGCCAAAUCUGACUUUUUAGAGUCAGUAGGCGGCAACAUGGAUAGCGUGAAGGUGCACGGAGACAACUCUCCAAAUUGAUGCAGAGUGGAUGUUGUCUGUGAGUAAAGAAUGAGGUGCUGUGGAAAAAGGUUUUCUUGCAUUGGGUUAAGGAAGAAACCUUUUAUUAUUUUCCUUUCUCCUGCAAAAUUCAAUGUGCAGAACUUGUAUAUAUUGUGAAUAUUACCUUGGCUUUCCGCCUCAAGUGUUUAUCGGAUUUUUGAUUUUUCAACAGAGUUAGUGUGGACACAA